rnacentral:rRNA from 1 species
UCGGAAUCUUGAGAGCGGCGCACGGGUGCGGAACACGUGUGCAACCUGCCUUUAUCUGGGGGAUAGCCUUUCGAAAGGAAGAUUAAUACCCCAUAAUAUAUUGAGUGGCAUCACUUGAUAUUGAAAACUCCGGUGGAUAGAGAUGGGCACGCGCAAGAUUAGAUAGUUGGUGAGGUAACGGCUCACCAAGUCAAUGAUCUUUAGGGGGCCUGAGAGGGUGAUCCCCCACACUGGUACUGAGACACGGACCAGACUCCUACGGGAGGCAGCAGUGAGGAAUAUUGGACAAUGGGUGAGAGCCUGAUCCAGCCAUCCCGCGUGAAGGACGACUGCCCUAUGGGUUGUAAACUUCUUUUAUACUGGGAUAAACCUACCCUUCGUGAGGGUAGCUGAAGGUACAGUAUGAAUAAGCACCGGCUAACUCCGUGCCAGCAGCCGCGGUAAUACGGAGGGUGCAAGCGUUAUCCGGAUUUAUUGGGUUUAAAGGGUCCGUAGGCGGACUCGUAAGUCAGUGGUGAAAUCUCAUAGCUUAACUAUGAAACUGCCAUUGAUACUGCGGGUCUUGAGUAAAGUAGAAGUGGCUGGAAUAAGUAGUGUAGCGGUGAAAUGCAUAGAUAUUACUUAGAACACCAAUUGCGAAGGCAGGUCACUAUGUUUUAACUGACGCUGAUGGACGAAAGCGUGGGGAGCGAACAGGAUUAGAUACCCUGGUAGUCCACGCCGUAAACGAUGCUAACUCGUUUUUGGGUUUUCGGAUUCAGAGACUAAGCGAAAGUGAUAAGUUAGCCACCUGGGGAGUACGUUCGCAAGAAUGAAACUCAAAGGAAUUGACGGGGGCCCGCACAAGCGGUGGAUUAUGUGGUUUAAUUCGAUGAUACGCGAGGAACCUUACCAAGGCUUAAAUGGGAAUUGACAGGUUUAGAAAUAGAUCCUUCUUCGGACAAUUUUCAAGGUGCUGCAUGGUUGUCGUCAGCUCGUGCCGUGAGGUGUUAGGUUAAGUCCUGCAACGAGCGCAACCCCUGUCACUAGUUGCCAUCAUUCAGUUGGGGACUCUAGUGAGACUGCCUACGCAAGUAGAGAGGAAGGUGGGGAUGACGUCAAAUCAUCACGGCCCUUACGCCUUGGGCCACACACGUAAUACAAUGGCCGGUACAGAGGGCAGCUACUAUGCGAAUAGAUGCGAAUCUCGAAAGCCGGUCUCAGUUCGGAUUGGAGUCUGCAA